rnacentral:lncRNA from 1 species
AUUAAGACUAAAAAGUAGGGUAGGUAGCUAUAGUGUAACUGGAACCACACAUAUAUUUUAAUUUGGCCUAAACAUGAUAAGUGUAUUUUAAUUAUCCAAAUAGUUUAUAGCUUUUGACUUGCAGGUCUUGAUUUAAUUUUAAAUGGAUGAUAUCUUCACAGAAAAUAGAUAAGAGUUGUGUUACAUGGUAUAAAUUAAUGUUUAAUCGCAUUAGUUGAUUAAAUUUUAGAAUUAUUUAACUCUAAACAGUGAAUGUAUUAUGGCUGUAAUGAAAAUUUUGGUGGUAUUUUAAAUACUUUUUGAUUGGUUAUUGACACCAUACUAAAAGAGGGACAAAAGAUACCUGAGAAGAACAGUCAAACUCAUUAAUCGAAAAUAAACUGACAACGCCAUGGAUAAAAAUGAAAAAAAGCAAACUGACAAACAAUAGUACCCAUGACACAACAUAGAAAACUAAAGAAUAAACAACA